GAUGAACGCUGGCGGCGUGCCUAAUACAUGCAAGUCGAGCGAACGGACGAGAAGCUUGCUUUUCUGAUGUUAGCGGCGGACGGGUGAGUAACACGUGGAUAACCUACCUAUAAGACUGGGAUAACUUCGGGAAACCGGAGCUAAUACCGGAUAAUAUUUUGAACCGCAUGGUUCAAAAGUGAAAGACGGUCUUGCUGUCACUUAUAGAUGGAUCCGCGCUGCAUUAGCUAGUUGGUAAGGUAACGGCUUACCAAGGCAACGAUGCAUAGCCGACCUGAGAGGGUGAUCGGCCACACAGGAACUGAGACACGGUCCAGACUCCUACGGGAGGCAGCAGUAGGGAAUCUUCCGCAAUGGGCGAAAGCCUGACCGAGCAACGCCGCGUGAGUGAUGAAGGUCUUCGGAUCGUAAAACUCUGUUAUUAGGGAAGAACAUAUGUGUAAGUAACUGUGCACAUCUUGACGGUACCUAAUCAGAAAGCCACGGCUAACUACGUG
rnacentral:rRNA from 1 species